CCUACGGGAGGCAGCAGUGAGGAAUAUUGGUCAAUGGACGAGAGUCUGAACCAGCCAAGUAGCGUGAAGGAUGACUGCCCUAUGGGUUGUAAACUUCUUUUAUAUGGGAAUAAAAUGUUCCACGUGUGGGCUUUUGUAUGUACCAUAUGAAUAAGGAUCGGCUAACUCCGUGCCAGCAGCCGCGGUAAUACGGAGGAUCCGAGCGUUAUCCGGAUUUAUUGGGUUUAACGGGAGCGUAGGUGGAUUGUUAAGUCAGGUGUGAAAGUCUGGGGCUCAACCCUAGAAGUGCAGUUGAAACUGGCAGUCUUGAGUACAGUAGAGGUGAGCGGAAUUCGUGGUGUAGCGGUGAAAUGCUUAGAUAUCACGAAGAACACCGAUUGCGAAGGCAGCUCACUGGACUGCAACUGACACUGAGGCUCGAAAGUGUGGGUAUCAAACAGGAUUAGAUACCCCAGUAGUC
rnacentral:rRNA from 1 species